rnacentral:lncRNA from 1 species
UUUUAAAAUGUUUGCCAUGUUUAUGCUUGUGCUUCAAGUACUUCUACUCUUCAGUGCGUUGCAAGUGAGCUGCAGCCGGGUAUUGCCGAAUGAAGAUACAGCAGGUAAUAAUUUAAUUAUCACAACUUAUGGUUUUUAAUGCUCCACCACCUUUUAUUCCAGGUGCUCCAUUCCAUCUGCCUCCUUUCGUUCCAAGACCUCCAUUCCAGCUGCCGCCUUUCAAUCCAAGACCUUUGCCACCUUUCAAUCCAAGACCACCAUUCCACUUGCCACCUUUCAAUCCAAGGCCACUCCCACCUUUCUUCCGUCCGCCACCCUUCUCUCCACCUCAAAAGGAUUAAAAGGAUUAAAUUUAUCAUCGAGUUCUAUGUUGGGAG